UAUUUUGUUUCUUAUUGUCGUAAAAACGAAAACUAAUCAGAUCCCAUCACCACCAUCUUCAUCGUCGCAACCUCCGCUCCAGCACCACCAUCACUAAUCCCACCACCAGUUCCAGUACCACCUCCACCAAAUCCACCACCAGCGGCACCACCACCUCCUAAAGAAUCGAUUUAGAUCGAUUUUCAACUUCAAAACUUAAAUCCAGUGGUGAAUCAACCAGAAACUAAAUCCCAAAACCUAAUCUUGAGCAUCAAAAUUAUUGAAUUCAUCUCGAUAUCAAUUGGAUUUGGCUUGAAGAACCUUAAAUCGAUGAUAACUAUGUUGGAUCUUAAUUAUCUGCAUCGAUUGGGAAGAGACGAUGAAAUUCGUGAUCAAUAAUAGAAUUUUAAACGAAUUUAAAUUGAUUAUCGUCUUUCUCUUAUAUAAGUUUCUGCUGCUGGUGGUCAUAAUGGAGAUGGAAAGAAGCUGAAAUGACAAAAUUGAUAAUGGAAAUUGUGUUGGUUUUGUUGAAAUGAUGAAAUUGGAAAUGGAGAGGUUAAAUGUUGUUUGCAGUGAGGUUAAAGUAAUGAAAUUGAUGAUGGAGAUUGUGGUGGUUCCGGUUGUUGUGGUGGCGGCGGUGGAGAUUGGGUGUGAUUGACUGAUUGUUGUUGGUAAUGGUGAGGUUGGAAUGAUAGAUUGGUGUAUUACUACUCCGUCAACUGUUGAAGUUACUGAAUCUGAUUUGAAAUUAAAACAGCUUGUGAUGUCUGCAUGACAAUUUCCUGGCGAAAAUCACAGGCGAUGGGGAAGGGAAUGGAAAAUAAUGGAGAUUCGGAUGUAGAUUUUGAUGUGGUUGUGUAGUUACUAGUGCUCAAAUUUUAUACUCCCAACAUGCGAGAACUGAAGAGAACUAAAGUUUAGCUUAAUAGAGCAAGUCGUCUUGUAUUGAAGGAAGAUGAUAUCGUUGGUAUUUUAGAGAGUGAGGAUGUCAAGAUCUUAAACUCAUGAAAGAUCGUCUUUUAAUUAAGUAUAAUUGGUGAAGAAAAUGUUAGAGACUGCAAAUGGUGGCGUUGGUGAAUUUUAGGUUCGUUGACUUUUAGGUUCAACUGUUGGGUACUUGAUUAUUUGCGCAACCUGGGUUGAAAGCUUGUGUCAGUGAGAACUUGCA